UCUACGGGUGGCAGCAGUGAGGAAUAUUGGUCAAUGGGCGGAAGCCUGAACCAGCCAAGUCGCGUGAGGGAAUAAGGCCCUACGGGUCGUACACCUCUUUUGCCGGGGAGCAAGGUCCGGGACGCGUCCCGGCCCGGAGAGUACCCGGAGACAAAGCCUCGGCUAACACCUUGCCAGCAGCCGCGGUAAUACGGAGGAUGCGGGCGUUCUCGGGAUUUAUUGGGUUUAAAGGGUGCGUAGGCGGGCUUUUAAGUCAGCGGUAAACAUUCGGGGCUCAACCCCGUCCGGCCGUUGAAACUGGGGGCCUUGAGUGGGCGAGAAGAAGGCGGAAUGCGUGGUGUAGCGGUGAAAUGCAUAGAUAUCACGCAGAACCCCGAUUGCGAAGGCAGCCUUCCGGCGCCCUACUGACGCUGAGGCACGAAAGUGCGGGGAUCGAACAGGAUUAGAUACCCGGUGUAGUC
rnacentral:rRNA from 1 species